rnacentral:rRNA from 1 species
AUUGCCUUAGUAACGGCGAGUGAAGCGGCAAAAGCUCAGAUUUGAAAUCUGGCGUCAUUUUGGCGUCCGAGUUGUAAUCUGUAGAGGAGUAUUCGAGUGUAGCUUUGGCUUAAGUUCCUUGGAACAGGGCGUCAUAGAGGGUGAGAACCCCGUUAACGGCCUUAGUCUUAUGCUCAUGUGAAUCUUCUUCAACGAGUCGAGUUGUUUGGGAAUGCAGCUCUAAAUGGGUGGUAAAUUCCAUCUAAAGCUAAAUACUGGCAAGAGACCGAUAGCGCACAAGUAGAGUGAUCGAAAGAUGAAAAGAACUCUGAACAGAGAGUUAAAUAGUACGUGAAAUUGUUGAAAGGGAAGCACUUGCGACCAGACACACUUGCAAUUGAUCAACCUCCAUUCUUGGUGGUGCACUCAGUUGUAGGUGGGUCAGCAUCAGUUACGGCGGUGGGAAAAAGACCAGGGGAAUGUGGCUCUCUUCGGGGAGUGUUAUACCCCCUGGUGUAAUGCCGCCAGCUGUGACUGAGGACCGCGCUU